rnacentral:rRNA from 1 species
GACGAACGCUGGCGGCGUGCUUAACACAUGCAAGUCGAACGGAAAGGCCCUGCUUUUGUGGGGUGCUCGAGUGGCGAACGGGUGAGUAACACGUGAGUAACCUGCCCUUGACUUUGGGAUAACUUCAGGAAACUGGGGCUAAUACCGGAUAGGAGCUCCUGCUGCAUGGUGGUGGUUGGAAAGUUUCGGCGGUUGGGGAUGGACUCGCGGCUUAUCAGCUUGUUGGUGGGGUAGUGGCUUACCAAGGCUUUGACGGGUAGCCGGCCUGAGAGGGUGACCGGCCACAUUGGGACUGCGAUACGGACCAGAAUGCUACGGUAGGCAGCAGGGGAGAACAUUGCACAAUGGGCGGAAGCCUGAUGCAGCAACGCCGCGUGCGUGAUGACGGCCUUCGGGUUGUAAACCGCUUUCGCCUGUGACGAAGCGUGAGUGACGGUAAUGGGUAAAGAAGCACCGGCUAACUACGUG